CCUACGGGUGGCAGCAGUGAGGAAUAUUGGUCAAUGGCCGGAAGGCUGAACCAGCCAUUCCGCGUGAAGGUCAGUGCCCUAUGGGCGUUAAACUUCUUUUGUGCGGGAGCAAUAAUGGUCACGUGUGGCCAGACGAGAGUACCGUACGAAUAAGCAUCGGCUAACUCCGUGCCAGCAGCCGCGGUAAUACGGGGGAUGCAAGCGUUAUCCGGAUUUAUUGGGUUUAAAGGGAGCGUAGACGGUGCGCCAAGUCUGGAGUGAAAUGCCGCAGCUUAACUGCGGAACUGCUUUGGAAACUGGCGAACUAGAGUGCGGGAGGGGUAAGCGGAAUUCCUAGUGUAGCGGUGAAAUGCGUAGAUAUUAGGAGGAACACCGGUGGCGAAGGCGGCUUACUGGACCGUAACUGGCGUUGAGGCUCGAAAGCGUGGGGAGCAAACAGGAUUAGAUACCCCGGUAGUC
rnacentral:rRNA from 1 species